UACGGGAGGCAGCAGUGGGGAAUUUUGGACAAUGGGGGCAACCCUGAUCCAGCCAUGCCGCGUGCAGGAUGAAGGCCUUCGGGUUGUAAACUGCUUUUGUACGGAACGAAAAGACUCUUUCUAAUAAAGAGGGUCCAUGACGGUACCGUAAGAAUAAGCACCGGCUAACUACGUGCCAGCAGCCGCGGUAAU
rnacentral:rRNA from 1 species